GAGGAACAUUGGACAAUGGAUGGAAAUCUGAUCCAGCCAUGCCGCGUGAAGGAAGAAGGUCCUAUGGAUUGUAAACUUCUUUUGUAUGGGAGCAAUAAGGCCUACGAGUAGGUUGAUGAGAGUACCAUACGAAUAAGCACCGGCUAACUCCGUGCCAGCAGCCGCGGUAAUACGGAGGGUGCAAGCGUUAUCCGGAUUUAUUGGGUUUAAAGGGUGCGUAGGCGGUUAUUUAAGUCAGUGGUGAAAGUUUUCGGCUCAACCGGAAAAUUGCCAUUGAUACUGGGUAGCUAGAAUAUGGUUGCUGUGAGUAGAAUGUGUGGUGUAGCGGUGAAAUGCAUAGAUAUCACACAGAAUACCGAUUGCGAAGGCAUCUCACAAAGCCAUCAUUGACGCUGAGGCACGAAAGUGUGGGGAUCAAAC
rnacentral:rRNA from 1 species